rnacentral:misc_RNA from 1 species
CGAGUGGUCAAUAGGUAACCAGACUUCCAUUGUGGGCGUGAUUUUGUUUUCUUCCGGAAAUGGCUGCUCCCGAUCUCCCGACAGAAUAUGACGAAAUCGUGCUCGGAACAGGAUUACAGGAGAGCAUAUUGGCAGCUGCACUAGCAAGAAUUGGACACAGGGUUCUUCAUCUCGAUAGAAAUGACUACUAUAGCGGUGACUGGGCAACUUUCCAUCUACGGAGCCUUCAAGAAUGGAUAGACAAACACAAAAACCCAGAGGAAUCUGAUGUAGUACGGUCAAGUUCUUUAGAUGAACAGGAGCCAGAGGAUCAGGUUGCCCCAGACACCAGUCAGCUGGGGGAGGGAGAACACUUCCUAGAACUUCCACAAAAUCCAAAUACAGUGAGGGGGAUAGAGGUCACAUGCUAUGUGAGACAAGGUGUUGAGCUACCCAGCCUUGAGAGGGUGAUAGUACCCCCUCGCUUGUCAACCUCAGACGAAGAGCCACAGCGACUGGGUGCAGAGGGGCAGGACCCUUCCCAGAAUGCACCAGAGGCCGAUGCCUCAACUGAUGACACCCAUGCAGCAGCUGACCAAUCACAAGCAGAGGGCGAAGACCCAGAAAAUGAGGCACUCCAGAACUCGGCCAAUGAGGACCGAGAGUCCUCGAGUGCCGCAUCCCCCUCCAUCUCAGUCGACCAAUCAGAAACUGUUGAUGGAGCAGCUGGCGGGCUGACGUCAUCUGAACAGGUCGAGGGUCAGAGUUCACAGGGAGAAGGCCAAAGCUCAUGUGAACCAGCUUCAGAUGAACACUCGGAGCAAGAACCUGAAUCUGUUGGGGAACAGGAGCAGGAGUCUCCAGCACAAGAAGUUGAAGGUCAAGGGGCAAGCAAUCAGGGGUCAGUCGAUGAAGGUCAAAGUUCAAGUAGAACUGAACGUGGGAGACGAGACUGGACAUGGGCAGAAAUCAACCAGUUGUGGAGAAAGUUCAACAUUGACUUGGCACCGAAGCUGAUGUUUUGCCGUGGUUCCAUGGUUGAGCUGUUGGUGUCUUCAAGAAUCAGCAGAUAUGCAGAAUUCAAGGCAGUCACCAGGAUACUCUCAGUCAUCAAGGACAAACUGGAGCUGGUUCCCUGUUCCAGAUCGGAUGUGUUCAGCAGCAAGUACGUGAGCGUGUUGGAGAAACGAAUGCUGAUGCGUCUGAUUGAGUUCUGCCUUCACUACCAGGAUAGAUUAGAGGAUUUUGAAGAGUUCCGGGACAGACCCUUUGAGGAGUUUCUGAAGGCCAGGAAGCUGACACCAACUCUGCAGCACUUUGUGAUGCACUCCAUCGCUAUGGUAACCGCAUCAACUCCAACAGAAGAGGCUCUCAAAUCAAUGCAGUUCUUCCUCCGUUCCCUUGGUCGCUAUGGCAACACAGCCUUUCUAUGGACGCUGUACGGCAGCGGGGAACUACCCCAGUGUUUUUGCAGAAUGUGUGCAGUGUUUGCGGGUAUCUACAUGUUAAGAACCAACCUAAAGAAACUCAUUGUGGACGAAAACAAUGUGUGCAAAGGUGGCAUAGACUCCGAUGGGAGAAGAUUAACAUGCAACAACUUGAUAAUGGAGACUAGCUAUGCUCCCCAACAAGCUGCAAACACAACACUAGGGACUGUUUCCCGAGGUAUCCUUCUAACAGACAGGUCUCUGAAGCCAACAGAUAAUGAAGAGAUAACGCUGUUGACUGUACCGCCUCCACCCGGCCAGAAUAACCCGAUCAGAGUAUUGGAGCUGGGAGCCGGAUCAUGUGCCUGCCCCAGAGACAUGUUUGUUGUUCAUCUGACGUGUGCUGGGACAGGACAGGCAAGAGCAGAUCUACAAAACGCAUUGGACGAUUUGUUCCAACCUUUGGACACAGAGGAGGCUGACCAAGUUAGCACAAAACCGAAAGUCCUAUGGUCCCUGUUUUUCAGCCAAGUAGACUCGUCGGUGUGUGAGGACACAGCCCUUGCUGCUGGCCUGCCCAGUAACGUUCUGGUGACUGCUGGGCCAGGAACCUCAGUGGGAUUCGAACACGCUGUCACACAGGCCAAGAGGCUGUUUGAGAGACUGUGUCCCGGGGAGGAUUUCCUGCCGGCUGCCCCAGAGCCUGAAGACAUCAUCUUUGAAGAUCAGUCCAAGGACAACCCAGGAGAACACAAAGAGGUCGGAUUUGAGGCGAGCUCAACUUCCGAAGAGCCUGAGAAGCAAGAAGGGGAAGGGAUGGACCAAGCAGCAUCCAAGACCUCCCUGGAGACAGAUGGAGCAAGCAAGGAGGCGGGAGUCGCAGAUGCUGAAGGGAACGCAUCUAAGACAGAUCAGGAACAAUCUGAAGACAAUGCCAGUUCAGGAAUGUAACAAGGUAGACCACUAAAUGCAUAGGUUGGCUUGCCUUGAUUAUUUCUGCAAAAUUAUGUAAAAAAGUAUUCAAUAUAUGAAAUUUAUUUGCCUUUGUCUGAUCUUGAUAGGUUUUCUGAGUGGGUCUCUUGGAUGGGCAUUGUUACACGCAUUUGCAAAGCAUUGAAUGUUGCAGUUAUGUUAUGACCAAAGAUAAUUUUUUUUGUAAUGUUCAGAUAAAUUAAUAAUAAACUUAAUAAGUUAAACUUUCAAAACCAUUUUUUUUUAUAUCAGGAAUUCAUAGUAAUUUUUUCUUGUGUAAAGUCUCCUGUUAGGAAUGGCUUUGCUACACUCAAAUGUUGAUGUGCUGAAUGUAAAACAAAGCCUUGAUAAUUGCUAUCAUCAAGCUCCUCUUCAAAAAAACCCCACAUUUUUGGAUGUAAUUUUUGACAAGUUAUAAAGAAUUGUGUGACAGAAUCUAGAGAAAGAAGUGCAAUAUUGGAAUCAGCUCAGAUGAAAAGAAGUGAAAUAUAGUUGCUGUCCCAUAUUUUUGGGGUACAAAUAAAUUUGAGAAAGUAAUCAUUUCUUUGGCAUUUUUGAGGAAUUUUGGCUUAGUUAUUAGAAUUUUUUUUUGUUUACAGACCAGGGCCCAUUUUUAUGGCUCUGCAGACCACACAGUUCUGUGCUUAUGAUCGCCAUUUUGUGCUAACUGUGAUUGCAGAACGAUUCUGUGCUAACCCUGUAAGCACCGAAUCCUUUAGUUACGGGAUGUAGGCAUGCGCAGAAGUCAAAAUUCCUGGCUAACCCGUGAAAUACGCUUGCCUUAAGCACGGAAUUUUCUGCUACAGUGAAGCAGGGAUUUGUUGCUAACGGUAAGAGCCAUAAAAUUGGGCCCUGAUUCAAGUCCAUUUGCGAACUUUAAGCAUCAAUUUGGUACAUUUGUAUUUAUUUAACUGAAAUUAUUGUCGACUCUUAUGUACUUGUUUAGCAUUGGGCAUACGUUUACCCCAUGUACAUUGAGAUAUUAGUCUUGUUUGUGUUGUGUAUGUCUAUUUUUCUCAUUAAGUUUAAUUUGUUUACAAUAUGCUGAAAAGGGCUUGGUUGGUGUCUUGUUUUAUGCUGUAUUGUUUUCCUAACCACAGUUUCCAAUUAUGCUGAAAGAAAACACCGGCAGAUUUCAAGAAUAAAUGAUAUUCCAGAAAAGAUGAUUUAAUGUUGAGUGCAACACUGAAGGCAUGCAACAGACUUCAAACAUGAAAUGUAAACUGCGAAGACAGAUUUUUUGGACGUCUAAAACGUAUUCCUAGUUUCACUGUGAAGUUGUCUGAUACUUGACAAUGCAUAAACUCUUCAAACAAAGCGACGGCAUUUCUUGACCCUUAAACACGCGCGAUUCUUGGCCUCAGUCUUACAGCAAAUGCCAUGACUUCCCCGAUCAGAUAUUUCUGAUAUCUUAGGGGCUGGAAUUUGAAGAUCCAGCUGCCCAGCUUGAAGUGUCUGAUUAGAAAUGAUUGAUUAGAAAUCAAAGUCUGAUCUUAAAAUCUUGUUGUCUUUUUUGGGGUGGAACAUACAGUUUGCUUUGGGAUUUGAAUGUAUGAAACUCAAGCUUGUUUCAAUUCAAUACACAUAUGCUGAACUCGGGUUCAGCUUCUGUAGGUACUAUAACUGUUUUAUAGCCCUACCCCUUUCUCGUUCGCUUUUAAGUUUCUUGAAAGGUUUUCAAAGAUGCAUGAAUUGCUGCAUCACAAUCUUCAAUUCAUGUCCAGUUUCUUCGUGCGUUUGCUUCUCCUCAUACACAUUUUAAGUUUCUUGAAAGGUUUCCAAAGAUGCACAAAUUGCUGCAUCACAAUCUUCAAUUCAAGUCCAGCCUCUUCGUUUGUCUCCAUCUCCUCAUUUGCUUUUUAAGUUCCUUGAAAGGUUUUUCAAAGAUGCAUAAAUUCAAGUCCAGCCUCCAUGGGUGUUUGCUUCUCCUCGUUUGCUUUUUAAGUUCCUUGAAAGGUUUUUCAAAGAUGCACAAAUUGCUGUUUCACAAUCUUCAAAUCAAGUCCAGUCUCCAGUGGUGUUUGCUUCUCCUCGAUCGCUUUUUAAGUUUCUUGAAAGGUUUUUCAAAGAUGCACAAAUUGCUGCAUCACUAUCUUCAAUUCAAGUCCAGCUCCUUCGGGUGUUUGCAUCUCCUUGUCCGCUGUUUUAAGUUUCUCAAAAGAUUUUUCAAAGAUGUACAAAUUGCUGCAUCAAAAUCUUCAAUUCAAGUCUUUCCUCUACAGGUGUCUGUAUCUCCUCAUCUGCUUUUUACGUUUGUUGAAAGAUAUUUUAAAGAUGCAUAAAUUGCUGCAUCACAGUCUACAAUUCAAGGAGACUCUGGAGACUUUAGGAGACUCAGCUCCUUUUUUUCAUAGUGUCUGCAAAUAUUUGGCAGGAGAUACUGCAUGAUAGCCUUCAAUUCUUGUCCAGGGUUGCAAUGGAAUUGGUUACAGUGUCAGGCAAGAGCAAUUCUAUUUCUUCACACCUUGAGAAACCAUUUGUUUGUGAAAUUUCUGGUUAAACGUUUGAGAAUAUUUAUAUUUGAGACUUCAAUGACAGUAUCUCAUCUGUAAAUUAACCGCGUGGGUAUCCAUGCAUUGUCAUCGUUGAGGCGUGCCUCACUGGCUGGGUAACAAGCCUUAAACCCUCUUGACCACUUGACGUCCUGAUUUGAUCAUCAUGGAUUGUCCUGUCCUCCAUGCCUAGUGGUUCUGGGCUCAAACUCUCUUGCUUGUAAAAUCUUUUCAUAAUAAUUCAUUCUUGGAAUGUGCUUUCCUCAUUGAAGCAGAGUUAAUAUAUAUAUUUUGAAUCGCUGUCUUUUAAACCUUCGUACGACUCUUUGAACUUCAUCAUGCCUUCUUUUGGCAAAAUCUUUUUGUAUUCUUCUGAAUUUCCCCUUUUGUUUAAUACUACAUAGAUUUAUAUUGGCAGCUAUCCCUACAUGGUACAGGGACCUGAGAAACAGAUUCAUAGGCUGAGCACUUGUAGUUCUUUCAGUCUUUACAGUUUGAGCAGCUGUAAUUUGGCAAAAUAAAAGUUCUUUUUCUUCACAAUUUGAGAAACCAUUUGCUUGUGAGAUUUGUGGGCACAACUUCCAGAAUAAAACUAUUUGACACCUCAACACAGUCUUAAAAGAGCACAAAGGCAAUAUCUGGUCUUUAAACCUUCUUAACCGCAUGGGUCUCCAUGCAUUGCCAUUGUUCAGGCCUGCCUUCUAUGCAAGGUAUUCCCAGAUGUCUGAAAUGCUCUUGACUUCUUGACGCCAUGAUUCAAUCGUCAUGGAUAGUCCUGUCAUCCAUGCCUAGUGGCUCUAGGCCCAAACACUGUUUCUGCAGGUAUUUGGGGGUAGAUAAGUCGUAUGACAAUCUCCAAUUCAAGUCCAGUUUCUAGGAGACUAAGCUCCUCCUCUUCACUCACAGUUUCUGCAGGUAUUUGGCGGUAGAUAAGUUGAAUGACAGACUCCAAUUCAAGUCCAGUUUCUAGGAGACUAAGCUCCUCCUCUUCGCUCACAGUUUCUGCAGGUAUUUGGGGGUAGAUAAGUUGUAUGACAGACUCCAAUUCAAGUUCAGUUUCUAGGAGACUAAGCUCCUCCUCUUUGCUCACAGUUUCUGCAGGUAUUUGGGGGUAGAUAAGUUGUAUAAACAGACUCCAAUUCAAGUCCAGUUUCUAGGAGACUAAGCUCCUCCUCUUCUUUCACAGUUUCUGCAGGUAUUUGGGGGUAGAUAAGUUGUAUGACAGACUCCAAUUCAAGUUCAGUUUCUAGGAGACUAAGCUCCUCCUCUUCUUUCACAGUUUCUGCAGGUAUUUGGGGGUAGAUAAGUUGUAUGACAGACUCCAAUUCAAGUUCAGUUUCUAGGAGACUAAGCUCCUCCUCUUCUUUCACAGUUUCUGCAGGUAUUUGGCGGUAGAUAAGUUGUAUGACAGACUCCAAUUCAAGUUCAGUUUCUAGGAGACUAAGCUCCUCCUCUUCGCUCACAGUUUCUGCAGGUAUUUGGCGGGUAGAUAAGUUGUGUGACAACCUCCUAUUCAAGUCCAGUUUCUAGGAGACUAAGCUCCUCCUCUUCUUUCACAGUUUCUGCAGGUAUUUGGCGGUAGAUAAGUUGUAUGACAGACUCCAAUUCAAGUUCAGUUUCUAGGAGACAAAGCUCCUCCUCUUCUCUCACAGUUUCUGCAGGUAUUUGGGGGUAGAUAAGUUGAAUGACAGACUCCAAUUCAAGUUCAGUUUCUAGGAGACUAAGCUCCUCCUCUUCUCUCACAGUUUCUGCAGGUAUUUGGGGGUAGAUAAGUUGUAUGACAGUCUCCAAUUCAAGUCCACCUUUGCAAUGAAUUGGUUAGCCUCAUCCCUUGUCUGGGUAUUUACUGCAGCAUAAACCUAUGGAUUCAACUGAUUCUAUGCCUGCCAGUUAGAAGAGGCAAGGGCUUUUCAUUUCUUCACACAUUGAGAAACCGUACGCUUGUGACAUUUGUGGAUACACUGGAUAAAAGUUUGAAAAUAUACAGACAGAUGCCAAUUCAAGUCCACCUUUGCAAUGAGUUAUUUCUCCCUAUCCUUGUCCAGUUAUUUGCCGCAGCAUAUUCCUCUGUAUUGAAAUCCUUGAUUCCAGUUUAGCUGCCAAUACCUGCCACUCAGGAAAAUGUAAUAGCAAUUCUGUGUCUUUCACAAAUUGAGAUACCAUUUGCUUGUGACACUUGUGGUUAACAUUUGAGAAAAAAAUAUUGAGACUUCAUAGACAGUCUUGAAGUACAAAUUCCUUUGGAAGAGAAAAUAAUAGAACAUGAACCUGUGAGUCCGUUUCCUUACUUGCUUCGUGUCCGGAAAGAAGUGUGACUUGUCGUCAAGCAGCCUGUGCCCAUGAAUAAGGCAACAUCUUCUCUGUGAACCUUCUUACCGCGUGAGUAUCCAUGCAUUGUCAUUGUUCAGGCGUCCCUCCUUUGCAGGGUGACAGGUCUUAAACCCUCUUGACCACUUGCAACCCUGAUUGUAUCUUCAUGAAUAGUUCAGUCCUCCAUGUCAGGUGGCUUUGAAAUUAGUUCAGCUGCCUUAUAUUGUCAGUCAGAAAUAGACAACAACAAUUCCUUUUCUUCACACCUUGAGAAACCAUUUGUUUGUGAAAUUUGUGGGUAAAUGUUUGAGAGAAUAUAUUUGAAACUUCAAGGACAAACUUGAAAAAGUAUCCAGCAGAUAAGUUAUAUGAAGGUCGCUUUGUUACGAGUUGGUCAACCUCAUCAAGUUGUCCAGGUGUUUGUGGCAGCAUCAACCUCUGGAUUAGAGCCUUCGAAUACAGUUUAGCUUUUUUAUAUGCCUGCCAGUCAGAAAGAGACAAGAACAAUUCUUUUUGCUGCACACCUUGAGAAACCAUUUAAAAUUUGUGGUAAAAUGUUUGAGAAUAUCUUUGAAACAUCAAGGACAUUUGAAGAGCAUCCAUGCAGAAAAGCCCAGAAAGUUUACAUGAGCAUUUCCUGUACUGUUUUGAAUAUGUCAUUUUCUGUCACAGAAUUCAAGUCCAGCUUCUCGAAGAUGUUUGGGUAUCGUAAUUGGACGUCAAAGUUCAGAUUGUGUAGGUUUUCAUUUUUUGCCGUGCAAGGUGAAUUUGAAAAUUGUGCCGUCUUUUCCUACAUGAAUAUGGAAAAUACAUUUUUUGCCCUUCUUAUUCUUAACACAUUGAAUAGGCUUUCCUUUAUAGCUACCUGCUCAACAGCACUUGUUCAACAGAGAUUGUCACAGUUGAAGCACUUUUUCUCAUACUAAACCUCAAAUUCAGCCUCAGUGAAAGCUUCAUGCACACCAAGAUGUGUAACUUGUCUCAAAGAGUUCACCUCUUGGAAAAGGCAGCCUGUGCCUAUGAAUUUAGGCAAUAUUCCUCUUUGCACCAUCUUAAACGUGUGGGUAUCCAUGCGUUGUCAUUGUUUAGGCGUGCCUCCUAUGCAAGGUAACAAGCUACUUGACGCCCAGAAUUGGUUAACCCAUCUGUCCUCAGUUCAGUUGCUUGUCAGUGUCAGUUUGAAAGAGGCAAGGGCUAUUCUAUUUCUUCACACUUUGAGAAACCAUUUGUUAGUGAAAUUUGUGGGUUAAUGUUUGAGACUUCCAACGACAGUCUUAAAGAGCGUUGCAGACAGCCUGUGCCAGUAAAUAUAGGCAGUAUCUCGUCUGUUAACCUUCUUGUCUUCACUGGUAUCCAUGCAUUGUCAUUGUUGAGGCGUGCCUCACAUGCAGGGUAACAAGUCUUAAUUACUCUUGACCACUUGACGCCCUGAUUUGAUCAUCAUGGAUAGUCAUGUCCUCCAUACCCGGCCAGGAGAGCGUUCUCUUGUUGAAUGAAUCUGUCUCCCGUGUGAAACUGACCCAUGGGGCUCCCGUGAUGGCCGAACUCCUGGUGACCUGCUGGCUGUUGAAGCGCCGGCCAAACCCCGGCCUGUGUUGCGAGUUGAGACCUGCCCGAUGUCGAUGUUACCGCUGGACCGCCGACGGAUUGUACAACCUCUGGAUGGGCAGGCUGAACAUUAACACUGGCCACGGCAGGCCGACCUCGAGUGGCUCUUGUUGCCAUCCGGGAUUUCCUACCCCGAGCAGACCGACCUCCCCGGCCCCGCUGAAUUCCUCCGCUGGUGGUGUGCGUUGAGUCAAGACGGGCCGGGCGAUGCACCUGUUGUUUUGGCCGUGGCAUCUUGCCUAUGCGCGGGCCCUGGUCGCAUGUACUCCACUUUCAAGCUCAAGCCGAAAUGAUCAAAACUGCCGCGAAAAGUACACACAGGUGGCGAAGAAAACUUUUCCCAAAGCAAGUAGCGGUUCCGAAUUUAAUUCCCACGAGUGUUUCCGAAGUGCAUGUAUAAUCCACAAGGAACCGCGUUAUAAGAGCAAACUGAAAAAACAAUGUUGACUCUGUGGUCAGCUGAACCAAAGUGAAGGUUUGCCGCCCAAAUUCCUGUACCAGGAAUCUCAGCUAUAUGCGCCUGUGCUGUCCAUUGGUCAGCAGAUGCUGUCUGUUGGUCAGCAGAUCGGAAUGCAAGUUCCUGGAGCCUAUGCAAAUCAAGGGCACCAGGCCUUUGGGCUGUAGCCCAUCUGUGUGGUUACUGAGAAUAAUGCAUUUUAUUGUGUAUGCAAUAAAAUGAAGUAACAUGUUUCCAUCGAAAUUCCUUAUUGAAGACAUGUAUUUUGGCAUUGAAGCACAGUUGAUAUAUUUUGAAUCACUGUCUUUUUAACUUCAGUACCCGGUAUGCCUUCUUUGGAAAUUUCCUGUUUAAGUAUUCUGCUGACUUGUCCAUGCCAGGAAAAACACCUUUAUUGGGUGCUACGGUGGUACUGAUACGUAGCAGGGAAUCCUGGUCUUCGUUCCAAAUAUGAACAAUAGCAGGUUGUAGGAAUUUGGAAAAUGGGUUAACAUAAAAACAAAAAAAGUUACUUAACAGGAUCUGACCUGAACAAAAAAAUAAUAAUCAUGAAAUAUAGAAAUAGAAUGCUCUUUAAAUCGGAGCAGAGCCAGUAGAAGAUCAAGUAGAAAUAAUCAUUAACGUUACUGCAGUAAUCUUAAAAGCAAAAUCCGUCGGCUAAUCUUUGUUGAUGGAUGAAAAAUGUGGCAUAGGAAAUCAUGCCAACAUUUAUCGAUGCAGACUCCUGACAUUAAUAUGGCAGAUGAUGUCGGGUAUGGCCACAUGAUUGGAUCUUGCAUGACUGUACAUGUAUCAAUUGUACCAUUGUCCCAGCAUAAGGGCGAGAAAAUUUCUUUCUACUUGGCCCUGCACAUUUGGGACGAGUAGAGAACAGCUCCGUCAAACUGCUUUGGAAGACAAGCCACUUCUGUGCCUGUUAUGCAUGGCUGCUGCGUCCGCUCAAUGGUACUUUCUUUCCAAGCAUUUGGGUAAACAACUCGUGGCAGGAGUUUUGAAAAGAAUAUAACAUGCUUAUGCUUUGUGUCGCACUCACAUAACCUUGACAAACUGACAACCCAGGCGGGUAAUUUAUCCACAUUUUCCAGAAUUGCAGGGGACGUUAAGCAGCCUAGGGAAGACCUCAAGACACAAGGGCUGAUUUUAUUGUGAAAAUAAGCAACCUUAACACCACAAUAUUCUAUCACCAUCAGAAGAUUUAAACACUGUUUAAUUUUUUUUUAAAUGUGUAGGUCCCAUGGCUUUUGCCCGGAACUGUGGUUAGGAAAACAAGACAUCUCUUCAUUUGAAUAAGUGAUUUUUUUUAUUGCCAGUUGUUUAACUCACUUGGUGUUAACCGUUUUAAAAAUAAAUAAAUAUUAACAUGUAAAUUUAAA